rnacentral:rRNA from 1 species
AUUGAACGCUGGCGGCAUGCCUUACACAUGCAAGUCGAACGGUAACAGGGAGCUUGCUCCGCUGACGAGUGGCGAACGGGUGAGUAAUAUAUCGGAACGUACCAUUGAGUGGGGGAUAACGUAGCGAAAGUUGCGCUAAUACCGCAUAUUCUCUCCGGAGGAAAGCAGGGGACCGCAAGGCCUUGCGCUCAUUGAGCGGCCGAUAUCAGAUUAGCUAGUUGGUGGGGUAAAAGCUCACCAAGGCGACGAUCUGUAGCGGGUCUGAGAGGAUGAUCCGCCACACUGGAACUGAGACACGGUCCAGACUCCUACGGGAGGCAGCAGUGGGGAAUUUUGGACAAUGGGGGCAACCCUGAUCCAGCCAUGCCGCGUGAGUGAAGAAGGCCUUCGGGUUGUAAAGCUCUUUCAGCCGGGAAGAAAACGCAUUGGUUAAUACCUGAUGUGGAUGACGGUACCGGAAUAAGAAGCACCGGCUAACUACGUG